AUGGGAAAAGGGGAGGCUCAGUCAGACACCGGAAAAAAACGAGAGGGAGAGUGUUAACUAGUGAGAAGGUGGGAAUGCGAGGGCUAUUUGCUUGUUUUCUGAGCUAAAAACGUAGAAGGAAGAGGAGCGGAUAGGCAAGGAUGUUAGUUUCUUCCAGUUAAAAGUGAAAGUGUUUUGCCAUCAGUGACAGUUGAAGGAGGGGGAGUGGGGGAGGCUGUUUUCAUCCCCCUUUUUCCUUCUCUCUCUCCUUCCUCGAUCUGUUCUCUUUCUUUCAGCACUUUGUCCAAUGAAAGGAGGCGAGUUCGGGAGGUGAAAGUUCAACAGAAGGACAAAACCCUGUUUGCAAGGAAACACAAACCCGUCGGCGAGGGGUAUUUUCUCCUGAUCUGGGAGAGUAAUGUAGGACGAGCUAUAUUCCCCCUUCCUUGUCAGAGUUAUUGCAGGAAUGUGUAGUUGGGUCUAGUUUGAGGGAAAGAGGCUGCAUUAGGCGCUGUGUUCUCGUCCCGGUCUUCUUAGGAAAACGCCCGGGGACUAGCGUGUCAAUCAGUUGUUUAACACAAAUUACCUGCACUCCCAGAGAUCAGUCACGCGCAAAAGGCUUUGUCCAAUUCUUUGAAAAGUCCAGAGCUACAGAUUUCCAAGUCCUUACCCUCAAGGAACUUGCAGUCUAGCUGGUGAAAGAUAUAAGUGCAUAAAAGGUGAACCAAGAUAAGUGCCUUAAAAGGAGCAUGAGGAGCAGAAAAGUCAGUAACACCUUGGAAAGAGGCAUCUGGAAAGACUUCAGAGAGGAGUGGAAUGCAGAUCUCACACGAUCCUAAAAAUGCAGUUCAACUUUGGAAGAACCUUCCACAAGAAGCUGAAGUAGGCUGCUGCCUGAGGACCCUCACACAAGCAAGAAAGAGAGGGAGAAAAAAAAUAGCACCAUCAACAUCUCUUGCUGGCAAGUGAGGUGUGGCCUUCCAUUGAAAACAGCUCUGGGCCCAGAGUGAAAUGGUAGAAUGAAGAUUAUGAUUCUGGCAUACUACAAAACUCCAACUGGCACAACAAAACCAGAUUUUCCUUCAGGCAACAGAAAAUGGCCUCUUCUGGUUGCUUGUCUUAGGACACAGAACAGCAGAAAGUAGAAGAAGCCAAUCCAACUUUCUUUGGUUGUUCCAGCAGGUGCUGCAGCAGCAUUAAUCUUAAUGCUCGAGGGGAAAAAACUGUGUAAUUUUGGGGUCAGAAUUCAGGAGUGAGAAUUCUGGAGAAGAGAUGAUAAUGGUCUGUAUAAUUUACAUUGUCAUCCCCAAGGAAGCAGCAACCUCUCUACUCCAAAGAAUCCAGCCUGCUAUUUGCCUUGUGGAUCUCUGUGCUGGCUGGAAGGUUAUAUGCUUUUAAAUGUUUGAAAGUGUAUUACCCAGUUGUUUGUUUGUUUCUAUCUCCCCUAUAAAUAGUCUGCUCUCCUUUUAGGAAAAAGAAAUACAAGCAGAGCAAACACACUCUCUCUCAAAAAUGCUCUGCUCUGGUAUCCAGUUAAGCCAGAUUUUUCUAGGGCAAGGAGGAUGUUAAAGAGGAGGAACCUACCUUUUCUCACAGUGUCAUCUCAUGCUGAGUACUGAAUAAUAUGUUUUUAAAAAAUUAGAUCAACUCUUUGUUUAUGUGGACAUGCUAGAAUUGGCUUCUCAGGUUUAUAAUGAAAUAAAAUAAAGUAUAGCUUAGAAUGCCGUCCUGUCUAGCGUCCUUGCAAAUUCUUCUCUAAAAUUUGCCUGUGUCAGGAUUGCCUUAUUUAUGAUACAUUUUAUGCCUACCUUAUGCAUUACAAUAUAAUUACUUUAUGCUUUCUGUGCUAUGCUAAGGGCAUUGAAGCCUUUGCCUUGCUAUUCCCUCUUCUUCCUCAAGCUCUUUGCAUGCCUAGAUAUUUUUCAACUUUCAGGUCUCAACUUAAAUAUCAUGUCUUUGGAGAAAUUUUUUUUUUACCUCUUCCAGGCUCAGCUUUUCUCUCCUCCUUCAAACUUAGUAUCUAAAACUCUGAUUUGAUUUUUCACUUAUUUACACUAUUGACUGUCUCCCUCCCCUAGAAUAUAAGCUCCAUGAGGCCCAAGAUCUUUCCGUCUUGCUCACGACAAAUUCAUCAGUGACAUAUAAUGAGAACUUAAAUAUUUGAGUGCACGAAUGAACAAACCAAUGGACGAUCAGGUAACAAGAUCCCCUGUUCUCUUUCAGACUUUCCUUCCUUCAUUAUGAAAUAAAGGUAAUGGUCCCCAAUUCAUAAAUGAGAGAUUCAAAUAGAAAUGAAGGAACUCCAGUGACAAGUGGAUGACUGGGCCAUACAGAAGCUCACUGAAGCCACCGGAGACCUGGGAGGGAGUCAAAAGAAGCUACCGGGGAGCCACCUUGGGGAGCCACCCGGGGGAUCUCCAACCCCCUGUACCCCACUAGCUCCCAGUCCUGCAAGUCAUAUCUAAUGGCAAAUCCUGAAGGAUGGACAAAGAGAAGCUUGGGAUUCUGCUGACCUUUAGGUCUCCUGCCUGAACAUACGUAUUUACACAUAUUCUUCUAGACUUCAAGGCUCCCCAGAACCACUAAGACCUUUUAAUUACAUGAGCAGAUCCACAGGAGAUCUUUCAAAGUUACUUAAAAUUGGAAACGUAUACCAUAGAGAAUAAAGCUAGGCAAAGAUCACGUUUAAAAUUGAAACACAUAACUAUAAAAUAAUGCAAAUGAAAACACACACACACACACACACACACACACACUCUCUCUCUCUCUCUCUCUCUCUCUCUCUCUCUCUCUCUCUCUCUCUCUCUCUCUCUCUCUCUCUCUCUCUCUCUCUCUCUCUCUCUUGAAUUUAUGCUUCCAAAUGAGUGCAGUACACUUCAAAGUCAUUUCCUUCAGGGUCUCUGCAUUUACUCCAACAAUGAUUCCAUUCAUCUAACCACAUUUCAAUUUCCCUUUCUGGAAUUUCUAUGAGAAAGUUAAGACAUUGGUUAAAACAUUAUCUCUCAUGGUAAAUUUUAUCAUGCGGCUUUGUUUGAUAUUUUAAAAUGACCAAAUAGAAAUUCAGAGCCUUGGGUGACAAUCAAGCUGAUAAUUCCUGGUGUUUUCUGAAAUAAGGGAGCUUGAUUUUUUUUUAUUUGGUUCAGAAAAUAAAGUAGCUCUAAAGAAUAAUCAAAAGUGAAAUUCAAAAGAUGAUGUUUCACAGGUAGCAUCACUGAAACAGGCAUAUAAUUUCCCAGGGAGGGGAACCUUAAAGAACAACAUUCUUUUGGAUCUAUAACACCUAAAAUGUUUAUUUAAAAAUUCCAUAUGAUUACUUACAGAAUAACCUUAUAUGGGAAAAAUAACUACAAAUGUGCACAAUCCCACUCUCAAAUAGCUACGUUAUAUUAAGGGACUGUAUGUUUCUAUUCUAGUAUCUAACAUGAAAAGUUAAAAUAUAAUUCCUCCUGUUUUUCAAUCAAUCUUAAGCAAGCUCAAAUGAAUAGGAAUUAGACUGUUGCAAACAUAAUUAAUCACUCAUUUUAUAAAAGUUACAGGACUACAUCAUUAAAACUAAUUUUUUAAUACAUUUUUUAAAAUAAUGAAUGCUCACAGCAGAAAAUUUGCAAAAUAGCAAGUAAUGCUUAGUAACAUUAAAUAAACAAUAAAUUACAAACACCCACAAUCCCAUCACCUAUAAAUAAUAAAGGUAAAUAUCUGGGCACAUAUCCUUCCAGAUUUUUCCCUAGCAUGUGUGUAUUUGUGUGCACUACAGACAAAAACCUAGGAUGGAUGGCCUGUUCUACCACUUAGUACCUGUGGGACCUUGGGCAAGGUACUUAACUUCUCUGUGCUGCUUCUCCAUCAAAUGAAAAUGAUAAUGUUUGCUUUUGUGCCCUGUUGUAAAGAUAAAAUGACAUAAGGAACAUAAAGUUCAUAGUACAGUGUCUGAAACAUAGUAAGUACUCAAUAAUAUCAGUAUUAUAAUUAUAUAGUGUGGAAUGAAACUGUUUUCACUGGAAAUUAUUUUGUGAGCAUUUUCUUAAAGCUUAUUUUAAACUCUAUUACAAAAACAUAAUUAAGACUCCAACUAGGUCCCUACCUGAGAUUCUAUAAAAGAUGCAUUCACUAAGUUUUAUCUUUCAGAAACUUAAAUCCACUGAAGUGUUACAAUACUAGACAAGUCUUAAAACCCAGAGGCAACAGCCUCUUUAAGAUCAACUAUCAGAUGCAGCCCCCUUCUACAUACUAUUGACACCCCCUUUUAAUAUGAACAAGUUAGGGUGCUCACUACCUAGACAUCCG